AAUUAUGGAGCAAUGGAUAACGCGUCUGACUACGGAUCAGAAGACUCCAGGUUCGAAUCCUGGCGUGCUCG
rnacentral:tRNA from 1 species